rnacentral:rRNA from 1 species
CCUAUGGACGGGAAUAACCUCGGGAAACUGAGUAUAAUGCCCGAUAGAACACUAUACCUGGAAUGGUUUGUGUUCCAAAUGAAUGUCGCCGUAGGAUGGGACUGCGGCCUAUCAGUUUGUUGGUGAGGUAAUGGCCCACCAAGACUAUUACAGGUACGGGCUCUGAGAGGAGUAGCCCGGAGAUGGGUACUGAGACACGGACCCAGGCCCUAUGGGGCGCAGCAGGCGAGAAAACUUUGCAAUGUGCGAAAGCACGACAAGGUUAAUCCGAGUGGUUUGUGCUAAACGAACCUUUUGACAGUCCUAGAAACACUGUUGAAUAAGGGGUGGGCAAGUUCUGGUGUCAGCCGCCGCGGUAAAACCAGCACCUCAAGUGGUCAGGAUGAUUAUUGGGCCUAAAGCAUCCGUAGCCGGCUCUGUAAGUUUUCGGUUAAAUCUGUACGCUCAACGUACAGGCUGCCGGGAAUACUGCAGAGCUAGGGAGUGGGAGAGGUAGACGGUACUCGGUAGGAAGGGGUAAAAUCCUUUGAUCUAUUGAUGACCACCUGUGGCGAAGGCGGUCUACCAGAACACGUCCGACGGUGAGGGAUGAAAGCUGGGGGAGCAAACCGGAUUAGAUACCCGGGUAGUCCCAGCUGUAAACUAUGCAAACUCAGUGAUGCAUUGGCUUGUGGCCAAUGCAGUGCUGCAGGGAAGCCGUUAAGUUUGCCGCCUGGGAAGUACGUACGCAAGUAUGAAACUUAAAGGAAUUGGCGGGGGAGCACCACAAGGGGUGAAGCCUGCGGUUC